rnacentral:rRNA from 1 species
UGGGGAAUCUUGCACAAUGGGGGCAACCCUGAUGCAGCGACGCCGCGUGAGCGAUGAAGCCCUUCGGGGCGUAAAGCUCUUUCGACCGGAACGAUAAUGACGGUACCGGGAGAAGAAGCUGCGGCUAACUACGUGCCAGCAGCCGCGGUAAUACGUAGGGGGCAAGCGUUGUCCGGUUUUACUGGGUGUAAAGGGUGCUCAGGCGGAUUUGUAAGUCAGAGGUGAAAUCUUACAGCUUAACUGUGAAACUGCCUUUGAUACUGCAAGCCUAGAGUAUGGAAGAGAGUGAUGGAAUAUCUGGUGUAGCAGUGAAAUGCGUAGAUAUCAGAUAGAACACCCAUGGCGAAGGCAGUCACUUGGUCCAUUACUGACGCUAAAGCACGAAAGCGUGGGUAGCAAACA